AUAAGGCUAUUUUUCUAAUUAAGUUCUAUUUUGAUUUUCCAUUCCCCAUUCUUCCUGCCCCACAAUUCAUCUAUAUUCUUUUCCCAAAUUCAUUCUCUUCCUAAUUACAGAGGCAUCUCAGAGACAGAAACGUUCAACUUCAGUUGCUGCUUCUAAUCCUCGAAAACCCUAGCCAAAUUUUAGGGCUAUGGUAGUUUAAUCUCUGCUAUCGAGCUCUGGCUUCUUCAAAACCUUCACUGACUAUUCAAGUUGGAACAUUUUAAGCCAUUGUAGCUGCAGAGCUGGCUUUGGUAUUGACAGUAGUGAAUAGUGAAGAAGACUUUAUGUGGGCGUUGAUUCAACUGGUCAUCUAUACAUUCUUUACUUCCUUAUUUUCCUUAAUCUAGAAGCAGAAAGAUCCAUUGAUGGUAGAUUGUAGUUUUGUAAGAUUUAUUCCAAGAUAUCGACGAUCUUACCACACUCAAGGAUGCUUCAGUUGCUGAGUGUAGAGAAAGCAAUAAUAAGCAUUUGACCUUCAGUAUGAAUGUGCAGGAUCAAGAGGUUGCUGCUGGUUAGUUUUCUAUGGGAGCAUGAUGAGUAAAGCAAACAGUAGCGAUGAGUGAAGGUGGAAAAGAAAACUGGUAGUUAAACUAGUUAGUAUGAUCUAAAAUCUACCGGAGCACCUGAAUAUUUUCAUCUGGAUCUGCACCUUAUCUCAUAUACGGCAACAGUAGUAUGGAAAGGCAAAACAACAAUUAGGGAACUUAAGACCCAAAAACCUUCAGAAGUUUUUGAUGAUCUGAACAAGGAAAUCUCACAUGUUGCUUAGAUUAAUAGGGUGGUCAAGCUGCCGAAAAUGGAUCAGUUGCAAAAUUAGGAGAUUGAUGUGAAGGGUGCUAAGGCCCAAGGGGAUAACAAAUUGGGUUUCUACCGUAUACUACCUUUAGUACUAUAAUAUGUUUUAAAGUGUUAUUCAUGAUAGAGUACAUCAGAUAUUGUAUAAUUCAUUUCCAGUAGUCGACCUUUAAGAGAUUGCUUUAUUAGUUAAUGUAGUACUUGAUACAUAUUUCUUUUUCAAAGUUCAUUGUAAGUGUA